GACGAACGCUGGCGGCGUGCUUAACACAUGCAAGUCGAACGGAAAGGCCCCCACUUUUUUGGUGGGGGUGCUCGAGUGGCGAACGGGUGAGUAACACGUGGGUGAUCUGCCCUGUACUUCGGGAUAAGCUUGGGAAACUGGGUCUAAUACCGGAUAGGACCAUGGUUUAGUGUCUCAUGGUGGAAAAAUUAUUGUUUUGGUGCAGGAUGAGCUCGCGGCCUAUCAGCUUGUUGGUGGGGUAACGGCCUACCAAGGCGUCGACGGGUAGCCGGCCUGAGAGGGUGGACGGCCACAUUGGGACUGAGAUACGGCCCAGACUCCUACGGGAGGCAGCAGUGGGGAAUAUUGCACAAUGGGCGCAAGCCUGAUGCAGCGACGCCGCGUGGGGGAUGACGGCCUUCGGGUUGUAAACUCCUUUCGUUAGGGACGAAGCCGCACCUUUUUUGGGUGUGGUGACGGUACCUUUGUUAAGAAGCACCGGCUAACUACGUG
rnacentral:rRNA from 1 species